GUCAGGGUAAUAACAGGAAACGUUCACACAGACUAGCUGGGCACUCAGCUUGCAGAUGUUGAAGCUGACUGUGACAACUUGUCACCUGUCUCUGUUUUUGCAUUUUGCUCUCAAAUGGGCUGGACACACAUCACUUGGUCCAAAAUGCUGCCUGUGCGACACAGAUGAAGUUCAUCUCCAUUCCACUCUGAAGCAGGUUUAGCUUUUACCAGCGAUUUUGCCUUUUCCAGAAGGGAGAAAUUGUCCAUAGGAUUCAGGGAGUAGGACCACACCAGUGAUGCCAGAUUUGCAUGGCCCAGACAGAGACUAUAAGAACAACCAGACUUUCAACCCGAAUAAGGCCUGAGCUUUCUGCCAAUAUAAAUCCAGCCGUUACAUAGCCAGCAGUUGUCUUGAGACUCAUUUUUGGUUCACAGACUCUUCCUUCCUCUCUGAGUUAAUUGGCUGGGCAUUGUUGAAAGGUAAACUGAUACACAUGGGGAUAACUUGAGAGUGCCUGUUGAAAUUUUUGUGAUUCACUUUCUUCUUGAUUACAGCACUAGUUAGAGGUACAGAUUUGGGCAUUUUAGAAAAAGGGCUAAGCUCUCAGGGGGAAUAUAUGUAAUCAUGUGCUGAAUGUCCCAGAUCAACUCCGUAUGAAUUUGGAAAUGUUUGCAUAAUGCAUUUAAUUGGCCUAUAAGAGACAUAAAAAAUCUCAUUGUGAUUUUAUGUAAAUUUAGUUUUAAAAACUCCCUAAAUGCAUAUUUUCACAGUGCAGUUCCAGUUUAUGGUACAAAUUCUCAUAAACCUCUCCAAAAGCAUUUUCUUCUCCCUCACCCCCUUUAAAUACAGUCAAGAUUCAUUCAGUCACCAUCUUCCAGAGGUAAGAAAAAUGUUGGACUUCCCUUUCAGCACAGACUGGAGCAUUCUUAUCAGUUCCUGUGCACCAGCUCUGUGCUAGAAGCUGGUUGUGUUUUCAGUAAUCCACUUAAACGAAAGCAUUUCUCAUCCCCCAUCAGUGUAUACUGUAUGCUGUAUACAAGUCUCUCUCCUUUGUAGUUGGCAAGUUGCAGGUGCCAAAGAGUUGCUGUUUGCUUAGAAAGUUGGCUGUGUAUACUGAACUGUCUUAGUUUUUGGUGACCAACUUUCAAUAUGAAAAGAAUCUUAAAAGCCAUUAAAUACAGAUUUAAUGUUACUAUUCAAUCCUGUCACAAUCCAGGCAUGACUUGGCAAGCUGGCCUCCACCUCACUUGCAUCUCUCUCCCUCGCAUGAGCACCAUGGCUCUUCUCCUACAUGGGCACCUUCUGACCAGCCUGUAUCACUUGGGGUCUGGGAGUAGCAGAUGGGCUUGCAGGAGAUGGAGGUCUUGGGGAGGGCUGUACUCAUGUCCCCAGUAGUCUCACAUCCCUGUAUGCGGCCUGGCAUCACAGCCCCUCUCUCCCAUGUGAGGUGGUACGGUGCCUGUUACCCAGUAAGCGAGGAGUCUACUACAGUGGCUUUCAGAAGCCUGGUAUUUCCUGAUAAGCAUUGGUUUUAUUUCCACAGACUCAUCAUGCACUGAGGAUUGUGCUACAGCUUCCCUUUGGAUGUUCAGAGAGCCCAUGAGAGUGGGAGCCAUAUGAGCUUUCUAAGAAUCAGAGGAAACCCAAUGAUUCUCAUAGACUAAGAGACACACCACUCUCUGUGAAGUGCUUGACGAUCCUCAGCUGGUAUGCUUGGUGGAGAAAAAGACCCCUGGGAAACACAGUGUUCAUGCUGAUGACUCUUAAGAAGACAUCUGCAGUAUCAAAUGUGAUUCAUCUGGGGCUUGCUAACAUCACCACCUACUACUUUUAACUCAGUGCCAAUCAUAGACCAGCAACACGAGCUUCCAGGUGUGAAAGAAGUGGUGACAACUGCGAACUGGCAGGUGCUGAUAGAGUGCGUAAGCCAAUAUACGAUAAGCAGGAACCAGUGUGAACUUUAGUUUCAAAGCCUAACACGUAUUUUGCAAAGGCUGCAUUUGCAGCCCUAGACAGGAAUUAGAGGUUGUUUUGCAGCAGCUACAGAAUAACCUUCUGCUAUUGUGCUACAAAGGAUGCACACCACUUUCAGCUUUUGCAAGCCAGUUUACCGCAGAGACUUCCUUGUGGGCUUAACCCUGCCGUGUCGAUACUAUUGUACACAGGCAGCUAGGCUGCUCAGAGUACACAACUGGUGGGGGGCUUUCUGCCUCCUUUUACAGCAGACAGCCACUUCUGCCCUUCAUCUACACCAUUUUUGGAGAUGGGGCCCAAGUAGUGAAGUCUGAAUCUGGAUCCAAACACUAUUUUCUUCAGCAUUCACAGGAGAUCUCAUGCUAGGUUUGGGCUUACUCUGUUCAGAUCAAAGCCCAGCUGCAAAGCUUGUCUUCCAACCAAAGCUUCCUCAAAGCUUUGAGGUCUAGGGCUGUAGUUCUGGUUUAGCUCUAUUUCCAGCUAUUUUUGAAAACUCUAUAUGUAGAAAAUUUAAGGUCAGACCUUUGUCCCAUUGAAAUCAGUAGAGUCUUGCUUUCUUGACACUGAUUUUAAAAAGGGAUUUAGGUCAAUUAGGUAAGAUUAAUGCCAGCUGGAGUUUUCAGGAAUUAUUCCUACAUGCCUAACAUUUUGUUUCCAGUCAGACACCUUAGGUCUGUAGAUAUUUCCAUUUGGUGAUCACAUUUUAUUUCUUUAGACACAAGGUCUUUUCUAAUUAGUACUAACCCAACAAACAUGUCCAAAAAAAAGUCCUUGUUUGGUUUGACCUCAUACACACUAAUAGUUGUUUCUGGAAUGGUGGGUUGUUUCCUCUAACAGAUUUAGCACUGAGAUAAGAUAACAGAUGAGAGUGGACCGCCAAGCCAUUACAAGGCAAUGAUUUUUAUGUUUCUGCUGUUGUGUAAAGCCUAGGUCCAACCCAAGCGGGUAAGAGCUAAUGGUGUGCUGAAUGGCUCAGAACAGUGGUUGUCCAAAGGAGAGGACAACAAUGUACACAGAGCACAGGGCUGAGUCCCCAGGCUCUCACAGGGAGUUUUUAAGAAAAGUUUUUGCUCUUAGCUCUAUGUUGGAAAGGGUUUUGGAAAACAUCUUGCUCCAGGAAAAAGAGUCUUUCUAAAGCGUAUGUUAUUAGUUAUCUUUGUUUGUUUGUAACAAAAUUAAAAUUGAAUGGUUUGUGCUCACUGAGCAGCACAGAAACACAGUUGGCUUGAAAUGAAAUGAGCUCAACUUGAACAUGCUCAGCUUCAGAUACACGUUAAACAAUUUCCUGGUAAAAGUGUGAUAAAGAUUAUUUGUAUAAACAGUCGCUUCUCCAGCCGUGUAGAAAGAAAUGCUAUCAGUAGCAGGGGGUGGCUGUGGUCACUGUUAAGCAGCCUCAGUGGCCUCUGAUUUCUAACCUAGCACUCCUCCACAAAGCUGUACAGUGCUCCUGAGCUGUUGUCAGCCAGUGGUUUCUGUUCAGAGUCUGUGUGAAACUUCACUGUGUCAGAUGAAGGAAAUCUUCAUGUAUCUGAAUUUCAUUUCAGAGGCCUGAUAAUGACAGCUGGUUAAGUGUUUAAAAAAGCAGCAAGAGAAAAAGACUCCAUCAGACUUUAGAGAUCAGAACAGAGCCCUGGGAAAAUCUGCAGAUGCAGCAGCACCUGUCAUGUCAUGCUACUGUGCAUGUAGGUUAGGCUGUGUAAGGAAGGAAAGGGGAAGAAAUUAAUGCAGUUUCCUAUGGUCAUCUCUAAGCUCUGUUUCUGUUACUCCUACCAUGUGAGUAUAGACAAGAGAUUUAAGAUUUAAACACAUAAAAAAAAUUGUUCUGUGAGGAAUAAGAUAGUAAAUGACCACGUCACUGGACAGUAAGACACUUGGAAUACUUCACAUUUAUGAAAGGGGCAGGGAGCAUUUUUGAAGGAGUAAUCCACACAGCACAACAGCACUGUGAGGCUCACAUAACUAUGUGGGAUGCUCUCCAGCAAUUGGGAAGUGAGCAAAGAAGUACCUGGAUAAAGUGAAGGACGUUGUUACCAAGGUCAUGUUUUUAACUCUUUCCACUUACUGGCUUUUCUAUAAGCAGAAGUUCCUUAGCACUGUGAAAUGCUUCAGGCUUUUAUCUAGAAAACAGCUUCAUUACAAUACAUGCACAAGUCCUUAAAUAAGGGAAGAAUCAAAUUCUGUAAGAAACCAUGAUGGUGGAUUUUUCCCUCAAGAAACAGCAGCACACCCCUGUGCAACCCUUCCAGAGCCAUCAGGACAGCCCUGUAGGCAACCUCUGCAGAACCACCUCCAGCACCACAAGGCAGAGGGAAAGGUGAGCCCUUUCCAGUCAGUGAAGCUUGUUCUUCAGUUGUACGUUGCCUUUUCUAGGAGUGUUAGUGUCUCUACAUCUUCUACUGCAAAAAGACUGUUCAGGCUGAUGGCAAUGCUUCAGUAUGGGUAUGCGUACAAUUCAUGGAAAAAUCUUUCUUUACCUUAAAAUUGAAAGAAAAAAAAAGGCAGAUUUUAAAGUUCUGUGAGCUGCUGGAUAUUUGGGAACAAGCUGAUAUUUAGCUUAUUUUUUCUUUCACAAGCCACAACUUGUCCAGCCUUUUACUUAGUACGUCUUUUCUUUCCUGUACUGUACCCUCCAAAUGUGCUUUAAAACUCUUAGUUUCUUUCAGUAAAGUAAGUUCAGGCAAAAUAAUCUGCAAUAGAAUUGUUUUAAUUAGGUAGAGAGUUGUUGGAGAGACUGCCAAGGGAAAUGAGGGAAAAAGUCCCACCCCUUUUUAACUGGGUGGAAAGAUGUUCUUGGAGAGUUAUGUGCUGAGAAUUCAUUUGUAGCAUAAUGUUUUGGCACUGUACAAUAUUUUGUUUGAUUGCUGUGGCAGCAGACUUACCUACAAUGGUUUCACAGAGAGGUUAAAGCCAGGAAAGCAAAUUUUACUGGUGAGAACUAGAAAGAAAUGGCUCAUCAGUGACAACAAGCAGUUUUUCAAGGACUACCAGUUUACAAACACAGAUUAGCAGAAUUAGCAGGAGUUUUUGCAACAGUGCCAUCUGGCCUUACUUUGGAGAAGAGUGCUGUACACAUAUGACUUGUUCAGAUGGAGCACUGCACAAAUGCAUUUUUUAAAACUGACUGAUAUUUGUAAUAAGGUUAGUGUUCAAGCUCAGGCACCUUUGCAGCUUGCUUAGUAGAGUUCCACAGGUGCUGGGGUCUUCCUCUGAGCUGUGGCAAAGAAUAAAACAUGGGCAGUCAAAUUCAAAGGUGUCCAACCUUCUUCCUUGAACAAACCAUGCCUUGCUCAGAGGUUCUUGAAUCGUAAUCAGGAUCAAAGAGAUCAAAUCAGUGUCUUGAGAUAUCUGUGGAUUUAUUUGUCUUUGCUAAUGCCAAUCUACAUUGGACAAUCAGGAUUCAGUCUGGAAUUCAUCCUUCUGGAAAGGGUAAAGGCAUUAGUGCUCCCUUAGCUCAACUAGCAAGGUGCUGCUUUUAAUACUAAAGCAAAAUACUAAACCUUUUUCCAGGAACUGUAACCAUUUUACUGUUAUUUACUCUGGGCAAUUUUGUAAUUUCUAGUAUCAGCAAUCCUAAACUACUGAAGUCUUGCCAGGUAGCAAGAACUCUUACACUGGGAGCAUAAGCAAUUCAUAUUGCUCAGCUGAUCAGGAAUGUUGUUUUCCUUCAGUGCAAGCUACAGCCGUUGGAUCCAUGCAUUUGUUUGUUUUUUGUGACACCCCUGAGAAAUUAUUCCUCUGUGUUGCUGUUCCACAUAGGAAAGAAAACAGGGAAGCAGCAAAUAUAGCAGGUUUCCCUGAGCUGAAGAAGUUGCAGAAUAAACAUUCUUUACGAUUUCACUAAGAUGAUCUGUUGAAUCAACCAGCUUAGUCCCAUAUUCCCCAGGAGUUCCCCUUAUCUGUGACAUCAGAAAGGACAGAUUUGGUGAAGACUUUUAAAGAAAUUUAAAUAAAUACAUGUUUUGUAUGCUUUGAAAGGGAACGGUAUUUCAUUCCUAAGCAUCUUCCAUUAAAACAUUUUUAAAAUAUUUAGAAUUUUGUCAAGCUUUUAUCUUCCUGGUUUUACUGCCACUCUUCUUCCCUCUGCACAACCCAUUUUGCCCUUGAAAUGACAGAAUGGAGGAAUACUUAGAAAAACACUAAAGUUCAAUUUCAGGCUGCCCUGAAGAAUAUUCUCCAGAUUUGAAUGGAAAAAGAAUAUAAUUUACAAAAUAAA